rnacentral:rRNA from 1 species
UACGUAGGCAGCAAGCGUUGUUCGGAAUUACUGGGCGUAAAGAGUGUGUAGGCGGUGCUCUAAGUUCGGUGUGAAAUCUCCCGGCUCAACUGGGAGGGUGCGCCGGAAACUGGAAUGCUUGAGCGUGGGAGAGGAAAGCGGAAUUCCUGGGUGUAGCGGUGAAAUGCGUAGAUAUCAGGAGGAACACCUGCGGUGUAGACGGCUUUCUGGACCAUUGCUGACGCUGAGACACGAAAAGCGUUGGGGUAGCAAACAGG